rnacentral:rRNA from 1 species
AUUAUUUUUUAUUUAUUAUUUUUUUUAUUUAUUUAUUAUUUUUAAUAGAAUUAACUUGUUUUUAAGUAUUUUUUAAAGAAAAAAUAAAAAAUAAUUAUAAUUUAUUUUACUGUAAAGGAUUAUAUUUAAUAAUAUGGAAGUAGAUUUUAAUUUUUGUACCUUUUGUAUCAGGGUUUAUUAAUUUUUAUUUAUAAUUUAUAAUGUUUCCCGAAUUAAGAAGAGUUAAUUAUAUUUGAUGGUUAAUAUUAUAUAUUUAUUAUUUAAGUAUAAUUAGUUGUUAUAUUCUAUUCGUUUUUUAAUAUCUGGUUUUUUAAUAGAUGAAUUAAAUUCAGAAUUAAUUUUUGUUAUGUGGAAAUUGUAUUUUUAUAUAAUAAUUUAAUUUAAGAUUGAAGGGGAUAAGCUCUUUAAUGUAUAUAUAACUUAAAUAAUUUAUUGGAUUUUGUAGGAUUAGAAAUUUUCUUCAUUUAAAUUGUUAUAAUAAUGUUUUUUUAUUAUUUUAUUUAUUUUAGCUUUAUAUAUUUAUUAAGAAUUAUUUAUUUAUUUAUAAAAUAUUAGAUAUAAUGAUAAAAUUAGUAUAUUUGUUAAUUAUUAUAUAGUAACUCGGCAAAUUUAUUUUUCACCUGUUUAACAAAAACAUGUCUUAAUGUUUAUUUUUAUUAAGUCUGGCCUGCUCAAUGAUUUAAUAAUUUAAUAGCCGCAGUAUAUUGACUGUGCGAAGGUAGCAUAAUCAAUUGUCUUUUAAUUGAAGGCUUGAAUGAAUGGUUUAAUGAGAAAGUUUCUUUCUUUAUAUUAAUUAUAAAAUUUAAUUUUUUUGUUAAAAAGCUAAAAUAAAUAAAUGGGACGAGAAGACCCUAUAGAAUUUUAUUUAUUUUAUUUUAAGAUUUUUUUAGUAUUUAUAAAAUCUUAAAUUUAAUUUAAAUUUUGUUGGGGUGAUGGUGGAAUUUUAUUAACUUCCAUAAAUUAAUUUUUAUUAAUGAUUAUACUUUAAGAUCCUAUUAUAAGGAUAUAUAGAUUAAAUUACCUUAGGGAUAACAGCGUAAUUUCUUUGUAGAGUUCAUAUCGAUAAAGAAGAUUGCGACCUCGAUGUUGGAUUAAAAUUAGAUUUAAGUGUAGAAGCUUAAUUAUUCUAGGUCUGUUCGACCUUUAAAAUUUUACAUGAUCUGAGUUCAGACCGGCGUGAGCCAGGUCGGUUUCUAUCUUUUUUUUAUAAAUUUAAAAUAGUACGAAAGGACCUUUUAGAUCAAAUAUUUAUGUUAAUAAAGAAUAUUUAUAAAUUUU